GCCCUUGGGUCCGGCAUAACCCCGGGAAACUGGGGAUAAUUCCGGAUAACGCACAUAUGCUGGAAUGCUUUAUGCGUAAAAUGGAUUCGUCUGCCCAAGGAUGGGUCUGCGGCCUAUCAGGUAGUAGUGGGUGUAAUGUACCUACUAGCCAACAACGGGUACGGGUUGUGAGAGCAAGAGCCCGGAGAUGGAUUCUGAGACAUGAAUCCAGGCCCUACGGGGCGCAGCAGGCGCGAAAACUUUACAAUGCGGGAAACCGUGAUAAGGGGACACCGAGUGCCAGCAUCAUAUGCUGGCUGUCCAGGUGUGUAAAAUACACCUGUUAGCAAGGGCCGGGCAAGACCGGUGCCAGCCGCCGCGGUAACACCGGCGGCCCGAGUGGUGAUCGUGAUUAUUGGGUCUAAAGGGUCCGUAGCCGGUUUGGUCAGUCCUCCGGGAAAUCUGACGGCUCAACCGUUAGGCUUUCGGGGGAUACUGCCAGGCUUGGAACCGGGAGAGGUAAGAGGUACUACAGGGGUAGGAGUGAAAUCUUGUAAUCCCUGUGAGACCACCUGUGGCGAAGGCGUCUUACCAGAACGGGUUCGACGGUGAGGGACGAAAGCUGGGGGCACGAACCGGAUUAGAUACCCCGGUAGUCC
rnacentral:rRNA from 1 species